CAGUAGCCGCGGGAAAACGAAGGGGGCUAGCGUUGCUCGGAAUUACUGGGCGUAAAGGGCGCGUAGGCGGACAGUUAAGUUGGGGGUGAAAGCCCGGGGCUCAACCUCGGAAUUGCCUUCAAUACUGGCUGUCUUGAGUACGGGAGAGGUGUGUGGAACUCCGAGUGUAGAGGUGAAAUUCGUAGAUAUUCGGAAGAACACCAGUGGCGAAGGCGACACACUGGCCCGUUACUGACGCUGAGGCGCGAAAGCGUGGGGAGCAAACAGGAUUAGAUACCCCAGUAGUCCCUGUCUCUUAUAC
rnacentral:rRNA from 1 species